rnacentral:rRNA from 1 species
GACGAACGCUGGCGGCGUGCUUAACACAUGCAAGUCGAACGGAAAGGCCCUGCUUGCAGGGUGCUCGAGUGGCGAACGGGUGAGUAACACGUGGGUGAUCUGCCCCUUAUUUUGGGAUAAGCCUGGGAAACUGGGUCUAAUACUGGAUAGGACCAUGCUGUAGGUGGUGUGGUGGAAAGAUUAGUUUCGGUAAGGGAUGAGCUCGCGGCCUAUCAGCUUGUUGGUGGGGUAAUGGCCUACCAAGGCGUCGACGGGUAGCCGGCCUGAGAGGGUGGACGGCCACAUUGGGACUGAGAUACGGCACAGACUCCUACGGGAGGCAGCAGUGGGGAAUAUUGCACAAUGGGCGCAAGCCUGGUGCAGCGACGCCGCGUGGGGGAUGACGGCCUUCGGGUUGUAAACUCCUUUCAGCCAUGACGAAGCCCUUGUGGUGACGGUAGUGGUAGAAGAAGCACCGGCUAACUACGUG